GUGGGGAAUUUUGCGCAAUGGGGGAAACCCUGACGCAGCAACGCCGCGUGGAGGAUGAAGUACUUCGGUACGUAAACUCCUUUCGAUCGGGACGAUAAUGACGGUACCGAGAGAAGAAGCCCCGGCUAACUUCGUGCCAGCAGCCGCGGUAAUACGAGGGGGGCGAGCGUUGUUCGGAAUUAUUGGGCGUAAAGGGUGCGUAGGCGGUUUGGUAAGUCUUGUGUGAAAUCUAUGGGCUCAACUCAUAGUCUGCACGAGAAACUGCCGGGCUUGAGUAUGGGAGAGGUGAGUGGAAUUCCUGGUGUAGCGGUGAAAUGCGUAGAUAUCAGGAGGAACACCUGUGGCGAAAGCGGCUCACUGGACCAUAACUGACGCUGAUGCACGAAAGCUAGGGGAGCAAACAGGAUUAGAUACCCCUGUAGUCC
rnacentral:rRNA from 1 species